UGCAGUCGACGACUCUGGUAUUGAUUGGUGCUUGCAUCAUGAUUUACAUUUGAGUGAGUGGCGAACUGGUGAGUAACACGUGGGAAACCUGCCCAGAAGCGGGGGAUAACACCUGGAAACAGAUGCUAAUACCGCAUAACAACUUGGACCGCAUGGUCCGAGUUUGAAAGAUGGCUUCGGCUAUCACUUUUGGAUGGUCCCGCGGCGUAUUAGCUAGAUGGUGGGGUAACGGCUCACCAUGGCAAUGAUACGUAGCCGACCUGAGAGGGUAAUCGGCCACAUUGGGACUGAGACACGGCCCAAACUCCUACGGGAGGCAGCAGUAGGGAAUCUUCCACAAUGGACGAAAGUCUGAUGGAGCAACGCCGCGUGAGUGAAGAAGGGUUUCGGCUCGUAAAACUCUGUUGUUAAAGAAGAACAUAUCUGAGAGUAACUGUUCAGGUAUUGACGGUAUUUAACCAGAAAGCCACGGCUAACUACGUGCCAGCAGCCGCGGUAAUACGUAGGUGGCAAGCGUUGUCCGGAUUUAUUGGGCGUAAAGCGAGCGCAGGCGGUUUUUUAAGUCUGAUGUGAAAGCCUUCGGCUCAACCGAAGAAGUGCAUCGGAAACUGGGAAACUUGAGUGCAGAAGAGGACAGUGGAACUCCAUGUGUAGCGGUGAAAUGCGUAGAUAUAUGGAAGAACACCAGUGGCGAAAGCGGCUGUCUGGUCUGUAACUGACGCUGAGGCUCGAAAGUAUGGGUAGCAACAGGAUUAGAUACCCUGGUAGUCCAUACCGUAACGAUGAUGCUAAGUGUUGAGGGUUUCCGCCCUUCAGUGCUGCAGCUAACGCAUAGCAUCGCUGGGAGUACGCCGCAUGCUGAACUCAAGAUGACGGGGGCC
rnacentral:rRNA from 2 species